CAGUAGCCGCGGGAAUACGUAGGGUGCAAGCGUUAAUCGGAAUUACUGGGCGUAAAGCGUGCGCAGGCGGUUAUAUAAGACAGAUGUGAAAUCCCCGGGCUCAACCUGGGAACUGCAUUUGUGACUGUAUAGCUAGAGUACGGCAGAGGGGGAUGGAAUUCAGCGUGUAGCAGUGAAAUGAGUAGAUAUGCGGAGGAACACCGAUGGCGAAGGCAAUCCCCUGGGCCUGUACUGACGCUCAUGCACGAAAGCGUGGGGAGCAAACAGGAUUAGAUACCCCUGUAGUCCCUGUCUCUUAUAA
rnacentral:rRNA from 1 species